ACUUCUUUUCCCUUAUUUUACCAACUUCUUAAUUCUUUUUCCUCCAUUCUUUUUGUUAAGAAAUUUUGGUCAACAAUACUUGCACUUCCAUGCACAUUAUGAGAUACUGUUGUCAUAAGAGGAGACAAUUUGAUCUUUUCCAGUCCUGUCACAAUUUUCACCCUCAACCUUUCUGAUAGUUUUGCUAGAAUAAGAUCACCUCAUGGAUAAUUGGUCCUGGCUAGAAGAUGCCUUCAAACACUGGAAUGAGCUCUGUGUGCUAGAAGACGAUUUCAUCUCAAGGGGACUCUCUGCCGUGUGUUUGAACACAUCACCUGAGUAGAACCUGUCCUUCAAGCCAAGAUUGAUUAAGCACUGUGAGUUAAUCAAAUGACAGACAUCAACAAGGGCAUAAAGCAGUAUUUGUCCUAAACACAAUACAUUGGCCCAGGGCUUAUAAAGAUACAACAGCAACAAAUGAAAGCACAGAGCUGUAAUUUGUGUGAGGAAACUCAUGACUGCUAAUAAAUUUUGUUGACAAACA